rnacentral:rRNA from 1 species
CAGAGGUCCCAAGCGUUGUUCGGAUUCAUUGGGCGUAAAGGGUGCGUAGGUGGCGUCGUAAGUCGGGUGUGAAAUCUCGGGGCUUAACUCCGAAACUGCAUUCGAUACUGCGGUGCUUGAGGACUGGAGAGGAGACUGGAAUUUACGGUGUAGCAGUGAAAUGCGUAGAUAUCGUAAGGAAGACCAGUGGCGAAGGCGAGUCUCUGGACAGUUACUGACGCUGAGGCACGAAGGCCAGGGGAGCAAACGGG